rnacentral:misc_RNA from 1 species
UUUAGGAAGUAGCUAAUGUAUUUAUUUUAUAGUUAAAUAAUUGAACUAUAGGUUUUAAUUUGUAUCUGAUAGUAAAUAGUUUAAUUUCCUGGUAAAAUACAGACGUCUUUCCUGAUGUAUCCAUAAAUGCACAUUGCCAGGUUCAUUGACGGAUUACAUUGAUUUUGUCGUGUGCACUUAGAGAUACAUUGCCAUUGAUUCGGUGAAAUAAAUAUAUACAUUUUUUUAUCUUUU